UUAAUACUCCCUCCAUCCCAAAUUUUUUGUCUUCAAUUUGUCUAAAUACGGAUGUAUCAAGUCACAUUUUAGUACUAUUAGAUACAUCCGUAUCUAGACAAAUCUAAGACAAGAAUUUUGGGACGGAGGGAGUAUGUA
rfam:Triticum aestivum genome assembly, contig: Triticum_aestivum_CS42_TGACv1_scaffold_320751_4BL